CGUCGUUCGCCGGCGGAUGUAGCCAAGUGGAUCAAGGCAGUGGAUUGUGAAUCCACCAUGCGCGGGUUCAAUUCC
rnacentral:tRNA from 4 species